rnacentral:rRNA from 1 species
AUUGAACGCUGGCGGCAGGCCUAACACAUGCAAGUCGAGCGGAUGAAGGGAGCUUGCUCCUGGAUUCAGCGGCGGACGGGUGAGUAAUGCCUAGGAAUCUGCCUGGUAGUGGGGGAUAACGUCCGGAAACGGGCGCUAAUACCGCAUACGUCCUGAGGGAGAAAGUGGGGAUUUUCGGACCCCCCGCUUUCCGCUUGACCCAGGUCGGAUUAGCUAGUUUGUGGGGUAAAGGACUACCAAGGCGACGAUCCGUAACUGGUCUGAGAGGAUGAUCAGUCACACUGGAACUGAGACACGGUCCAGACUCCUACGGGAGGCAGCAGUGGGGAAUAUUGGACAAUGGGCGAAAGCCUGAUCCAGCCAUGCCGCGUGUGUGAAGAAGGUCUUCGGAUUGUAAAGCACUUUAAGUUGGGAGGAAGGGCAGUAAGUUAAUACCUUGCUGUUUUGACGGUACCAACAGAAUAAGCACCGGCUAACUUCGUG